rnacentral:miRNA from 1 species
GUAUGUCUGUGUGUGUCUG